AGUGAACGCUGGCGGUAGGCCUAACACAUGCAAGUCGAACGGCAGCACAGUAAGAGCUUGCUCUUACGGGUGGCGAGUGGCGGACGGGUGAGGAAUACAUCGGAAUCUACUUUUUCGUGGGGGAUAACGUAGGGAAACUUACGCUAAUACCGCAUACGACCUACGGGUGAAAGCAGGGGAUCUUCGGACCUUGCGCGAUUGAAUGAGCCGAUGUCGGAUUAGCUAGUUGGCGGGGUAAAGGCCCACCAAGGCGACGAUCCGUAGCUGGUCUGAGAGGAUGACCAGCCACACUGGAACUGAGACACGGUCCAGACUCCUACGGGAGGCAGCAGUGGGGAAUAUUGGACAAUGGGCGCAAGCCUGAUCCAGCCAUACCGCGUGCGUGAAGAAGGCCUUCGGGUUGUAAAGCCCUUUUGUUGGGAAAGAAAAGCAGCAGGUUAAUACCCCGCUGUUCUGACGGUACCCAAAGAAUAAGCACCGGCUAACUUCGUG
rnacentral:rRNA from 1 species